UACGUAGGGUGCAAGCGUUAUCCGGAAUUAUUGGGCGUAUAGAGCUCGUAGGCGGUUUGUCGCGUCUGCUGUGAAAACUGGAGGCUCAACCUCCAGCCUGCAGUGGGUACGGGCAAACUAGAGUGCGGUAGGGGAGAGUGGAAUUCCUGGUGUAGCGGUGGAAUGCGCAGAUAUCAGGAGGAACACCGAUGGCGAAGGCAGAUCUCUGGGCCGUAACUGACGCUGAGGAGCGAAAGCAUGGGGAGCGAACAGG
rnacentral:rRNA from 1 species